UGUAGUAAUACAAGGCAGACGGCUCAGUAACGCGUAGUCAACCUACCCUAUGGACGGGGAUAACCUCGGGAAACUGAGAAUAAUACCCGAUAGAACAUUAUGCCUGGAAUGGUUUAUGUUUCAAAUAAUUUAUUGCCGUAGGAUGGGACUGCGGCCUAUCAGUUUGUUGGUGAGGUAAUGGCCCACCAAGACUAUUACAGGUACGGGCUCUGAGAGGAGUAGCCCGGAGAUGGGUACUGAGACACGGACCCAGGCCCUAUGGGGCGCAGCAGGCGAGAAAACUUUGCAAUGUGCGAAAGCACGACAAGGUUAAUCCGAGUGGUUUCUGCUAAAGGAACCUUUUGUCAGUCCUAGAAACACUGGUGAAUAAGGGGUGGGCAAGUUCUGGUGUCAGCCGCCGCGGUAAAACCAGCACCUCAAGUGGUCAGGAUGAUUAUUGGGCCUAAAGCAUCCGUAGCCUGCUUUGUAAGUUUUCGGUUAAAUCCAUACGCUCAACGUAUGGGCUGCCGGGAAUACUGCAAAGCUAGGGGGUGGGAGAGGUAGACGGUACUCGGUAGGAAGGGGUAAAAUCCUUUGAUCUAUUGAUGACCACCUGUGGCGAAGGCGGUCUACCAGAACACGUCCGACGGUGAGGGAUGAAAGCUGGGGGAGCAAACCGGAUUAGAUACCCGGGUAGUCCCAGCUGUAAACUAUGCAAACUCAGUGAUGCAUUGGCUUGAUGCCAAUGCAGUGCUGCAGGGAAGCCGUUAAGUUUGCCGCCUGGGAAGUACGUACGCAAGUAUGAAACUUAAAGGAAUUGGCGGGGGAGCACCACAAGGGGUGAAGCCUGCGGUUCAAUUGGA
rnacentral:rRNA from 1 species